UGAGGAAUUUUGCGCAAUGGGAGCAAUCCUGACGCAGCAACGACGCGUGAGUGAUGAAGGCUUUCGGGUCGUAAAGCUCUGUCAAGAGGGAAGAAGUGUAUUAUGGUUAAUACCCAUUUUACUUGACGGUACCUUUGAAGGAAGCACCGGCUAACUCCGUGCCAGCAGCCGCGGUAAUACGGGGGGUGCAAGCGUUGUUCGGAAUUAUUGGGCGUAAAGCGCGUGUAGGCGGUUUUGUAAGUCUGAUGUGAAAGCCCCGGGCUCAACCUGGGAAGUGCAUUGGAAACUGCAGGACUUGAGUACGGGAGAGGGUAGUGGAAUUCCCAGUGUAGGAGUGAAAUCCGUAGAUAUUGGGAGGAACACCGGUGGCGAAGGCGGCUGCCUGGACCGAUACUGACGCUGAGACGCGAAAGCGUGGGUAGCAAACA
rnacentral:rRNA from 1 species